AUUGAACGCUGGCGGCAGGCUUAACACAUGCAAGUCGAGCGGGGUGAUGGUGCUUGCACUAUCACUUAGCGGCGGACGGGUGAGUAAUGCUUAGGAAUCUGCCUAUUAGUGGGGGACAACAUCUCGAAAGGGAUGCUAAUACCGCAUACGUCCUACGGGAGAAAGCAGGGGAUCACUUGUGACCUUGCGCUAAUAGAUGAGCCUAAGUCGGAUUAGCUAGUUGGUGGGGUAAAGGCCUACCAAGGCGACGAUCUGUAGCGGGUCUGAGAGGAUGAUCGGACACACUGGGACUGGGACACGGCCCAGACUCCUACGGGAGGCAGCAGUGGGGAAGAUUGGACAAUGGGGGGAACCCUGAUCCAGCCAUGCCGCGUGUGUGAAGAAGGCCUUAUGGUUGUAAAGCACUUUAAGCGAGGAGGAGGCUCUUUUGGUUAAUACCCAAGAUGAGUGGACGUUACUCGCAGAAUAAGCACCGGCUAACUCUGUGCCAGCCGCCGCCGUAA
rnacentral:rRNA from 1 species